UAUGUUAAUUGCGAUGUCGCGAAUGGCCAUUCAAAUUCAGGGCUUAUUAGUUGCUGGUAGACCUAUAUUUGUGCACUUUCUAUUUACUAACACUGUUAGUAGACCUCGAAAAAACUUUACCGCAGAGAAAGUCAACGGAAUUGCAAAAAGUCACAGCAAAGAUGAAAGGCAUUGGUGUUGUGGCAUUGGUACUGUGUCUCGUGAUUCUUGGCUGUUCUCAAGUUGAGAGCUACAGCCAUGUGGUGUCAAGAAGGGCUUGUCAGUACAGUGACAUUCAUAUCUAUUGCUUUGGAAAACGCAAAAUCAAGAUCAUCGAUGCAAUGUACGGACGUCAGUCAAAAUUGUACUGCAUGAAAUGGUAUGCAUGGGCUUGGUCAGUAAACUGCAAAGCAAGGAACUCUUUGGAGAAAGUUAUAGAGAUCUGCGAAGGGAAGAAGUCGUGCACCGUCUUUGCGAGUGACAAUGUGUUCAGCGACCCAUGUUCAAGUACAGAAAAGUACUUGGAAAUCAAAUACAAAUGUGAUACACAACAUGCAACAGCUCUUAAGGUUAAAACAGGUUAAAAUGCUAACAACUGUAAACCACUCAUCUUCUUUAUCUAUAUCAAAUCUUAUUUGACACACCUCAUUCGCUGAAACUGAUCUUACAACAUCAUCGUUUCAAACACGGUCUUGUACUCUAUGGCAGCUGCCUUUUUUCUUUAUUUAUGAAUAGAAUAUUUGCUUAAAAUCAUUAUCAAUUAUCUUUUUCUGUAAUGUUUAUCAUUUCCAUGACCAUGAAAAAAAUAAUAAUCAU